rnacentral:lncRNA from 10 species
CUGACCUUGUGAUCCACCCACCUCAGCCUCCCAAAGUGCUGGGAUUGCAGGUGGGAGCCACCGGGUCCAGCCUCUCCGGCGAUUUUCAUACCUGCAUACUCUGAUCACUACUCUGUUAAACAGUCAAGGAGGCUGAGUGCCACGUGCUGACGUCACUAAGAUCAAUACAGCAAACUCUGAAAGAUGGACAGAGAGACAGGAGAUGGUCCUUUAUAAUGCAGUGUGAUCUGUGCUGCAAUAGAGUUUUGGAAGCUAGAAGUUCAAAACGAGGUGUUGGCAGCACCAUGCUCUCUCUGAAGAUGCUAGGAAGAAUCUGCUCCAUGCCUUUCCAUUCGCUCCUGGGGUUUCCUGCAAGCCCUGACAUUCCUUGGCUUGUAGAUACACCACCCCAGUUUCCGCCCCCAUCAUCACAUGGCCUCCUCUCUGUGGGUGCCUCUGCGUUCCCUCUAUUCUUCUUCUAAGGACACCGACACCAGUCAUAGUGGAUUAAGGGUCCACUCCUAACUAAUUACAUCUGCAACCACCCUAUUUCCAAAUAAAGUCACAUUCUAAGAUUCCUAGGGAGAACAUGAAGUUUUGGGGGUGUGUGGAUACUGUUCAACCUGGGACAUGGAGUAAAUAAAUGGCAAGAAAGAUUACAGAUGACUUUAAGCUAAAGAGGGAGAUAGGGUUAAAUGUAGGACUUUUUUUUUUUUCCAGGACGGGAGAGGUUUAAACAUGUUACUACAUUGAAUAAAUGAAAUAA